ensembl:lincRNA
AUGGUAUGUACAUGUGUGUUUUUGUGUGUGCAUCCAUGUGAGUUCAAUUUAAAUAAUAAAUUUUGCACUAAAUUUGAAUUGCCUUCCAAUUUUUAUAUUAUAUUUACUUUGAUUUCUUCAUUUUUUUUCUUUUCAGAAAAGCCUGAGAAGAGACUAGGAGAUAUUCGAGAAAAAUUUGAACAUAUGAUAGUAGAUGGACCUCCGGUAAAAAAUGGUAUGGCUCAGACGGUAAAGCGUCUGCCUACAAUGCGGGAGAUAGGGGUUCGAUCCCUGGGUGGGGAAGAUCCUCUGAAGAAGGAAAUGGCAACCCACUCCAAUACUCUUGCCUGGAAAAUCCCAUGGGAGGAGCCAGUCACUGGAUUUAAAUCAGAUGUGCAUCAUUCAGGAGAGGAUCAUAAUAUAAACCACAAAAUACAAGUGGAUAAUCAUGGGAAAAUAUUUGAAAUUCAUGAAAAAAGUGCCCCUGGAUUUGAGUCACAAGUGCUUAAUGUCAGAGUGGAUCAAAACAGAAACUCCCAAAAUCAAGGCACUGGAUAUAAAUCACGUGUGCUUCAUUCAGGUGUGGAUCAAAACAGAAACGUCCCAAAUCAAGAUAUUUUAGGGAAAAAAUUUGGUAAGUAUUUCUGACACUUUUCCCAUACCAUUUAAAUGACUACUCUCAUUCCCUCCCUUUCUAUCUCUUUGACAUCCAUUCACUCACCCUUCCCCUCAUCCCUCUCCAAUUGUUUAUAUAUGUACUACUUUGAUAUUAACUUCUUCCAUCUAUGUUUCCCUCAUUCCAACUCUUCCUGUUCCUUGCUUUUCAUUAUAUACCUAUUCUUGUCUAUAACGUUCAAUGUUUUCCUUUUUAUGUCUCUUGAGAAUUGUCUUGAAUUGAUUCUAAUAUUUGUAGGGAUGAGGGAUAUCAGGCUGAUCACCACAUCACUCUUAUGCAAUAGAUGUUUUCGUGUAAAUGACCACUGAUGUCGAAUCAUUGUGACUUUUCAAGUUCAAGGGACAAUAAUUAUGUGAUUGAUACUGACCCAACACUUAAAUGAAUAGAAAACUCCAAAUUGGUUGAGUAAAUUACUCUGCCUUCUGCUAUUUCAAAGACUAGUAAUUCAGUGACAUUUCUUGAUUACAUGUGAGCUCUAAACCUACUCUCCCAUUUCCCUUGAAAUUAUUACCCACUUGUUCCCAGGUGUACAAAUGCUUUAUGUAGUAAGGAUGGCAUCACUGACUCAAUGAACAUGAGUUUGAGUAAGCUCUGGGAGUUGGUGAAGGACAGGGAAGCUUUGCAUGCUGUAUUCCAUGGGGUUGCAAAGAGUCUGACAUGACUAAGCGACUGAACUGAACUGAUAGUGUUGUGUAGCCUCUUUUAACUCAAAAUUUCUACUGGUAAAAAAUACAAAUUUAAUAGAUUUAUUCAGAAAACACCAAUUCAAACAUUAAAAGUUUAUCUCCUUUAUUCUUUCUCUUGAUGUUUUUCAUUUACAUCUUUAAGAAGAAAUUGAAUUUAGUAGUAUAACAGGAGGCUAUAACUGAUUACUGAUCCAUUAUACCAUGUGUACAAAAGUCCCUUUAUGUUCCUUCAUCACUUUUUAAAUAUGUUGCUUGUAUAUCAAUUCACACUAAUAUUCUGUUCUGAGAAAAGCAGAAAUGCCAACACAAACCCAAGGGUCUGACACUGUUUAACAGAACUCAUAAUUUAACUCCCCUGAUGGGGCCAUUUCCAAUCUUGCAUGAUGGAAUAUAUGGAAUGAAAAUGGUUACUUCUCAUUAGUAUGGUAGACUUUGAAACUUUUGGUUUUAAUUCUAAGAAAGGGUGGUCCAUUUGAACCCAAAAGCAAAUGUUUCCAAUUUUUGAUCUGGUCUCUUCCUAACAUUCUACUUUUAUUUGAAUGAAUUGGAUUUCUUUUCUUUUGUUAAUCAAUAGUGUAAAGAAGGAAAAUACAUGACUCAUAAUGUAUUUCACUAUGAACCUAUGCAUGGUUUCAUCCAUGUUUUUAUACAUUCUUUAAUAAUCAAUUUGCAUGUUCCCAAACACCAUCAUACAAAUAACUUACAUGAUAUGUCUUUUUAUUUAGUCUGCCCAAAUUUUGUUUGUCUUCUGCAUUUGGCACUCUAUUUUCCCCAUUAGUACUUCUGUGAUUUUCUCAUUUUGAUACAAUGGAAGCAGACAUUUAUCUUGUGUCAACUAAAUUUAGUAUUGGUAUAGUUCAAAGAUUUACCUGUUUUAAGAUUCUGAAGUGUGAGUUUUCUCCAACAUAUUCUCAGUCUUUUGAUGUAUAAACCCUUUCACCACCAUUUAGUAUUUACAUACCUUUUCCUCAUGUAUUUUUUUUAUACAUGAAAAAAAUCUGCCUCACUUAGGCUUUAGCUAAAAUAGCAAUAUGCAUUACAGUAUUUUAUAUAUUCAUUUGUUGACAAACAUGUGAACAGAAUCAUCCAGGCUACAAACCCUGCAUUUCUUUGACUGGUUCAACACUGGUUCAAGAUGUUAAACAAUGCUAAUGGCUCUUAACAUUUUAGAUGUUACAUUAAUUGAUUUAACCCUAUCUAUUAAGUAGUAGCCAAAUAAAUUUAUAGAGCUAAUAAAAUGAAUUAGUUCAGUCAACAUAGAUAAAGUACAGUUUGAAAGGUCAACUUCAGAACUGCUAUUUUAAUAAUUUUCUUCAAUUAAAACAAUACUUUUAUUUUAACCCCUAUUCUAUUUCAGGAGAAUACUAUAUUUUAAAAAUGAGCUGUCAUACACAGUCCACAGUGUGUGUUUUCUGUGUGUUUAUGUGUUUGUAUGUAUGCUUUAUGAUAGUUAUAAUUUUAAAUAUGUAGGCAAUAUUUGCCAUAAAUUUUGUUUCUUGAUCUUCCAUUUCCACGAUUGACCUUAAAUUUUCCAUUUUAUUUUUCUAAAGCCCCUCAGGAAAGCAGUGGUAAGUAAAAACUUAUUACUCAUAAAUGACUUUUGCAUGACUAAUUUCUUCACACCUAACCAGUCACAGUCUCUUAAUCCAUAGGUUUCCCUGUCUUGCCCUUUCCCUGGUUGUCUGUCUUCUAUCUCCAAAUUUGUUAUAGACUUUUUAGGAAGAUGUUCUCUCCAUUUAGUUUCUCCUCCUAAAAGCCAUUUCAAUUCCCAUUUUUCCCAUUCCACAUCAUUUCUUUCCUACACAUAUCAACAUUUUCUGUUUUCCUCAGUCUGUCUCUGAGGACUUGAUACAGGCCCCCUGAAAACUUGAAGAGACGGAGAACAUUAAAUUGAAAGCACAGGGUUCAAUCCUGUUUACCUUCUGGGCACAUCCCUAGUCAGGAACUUCAUCAUAUUCUAUUUUUCAGGGCACACAUUUAGGUCAAUAAGACUUUGCUAGAUGUACACAGUUGAGAGAAGAUACCUAAUAGGCUGAGUGAAGUUUGUCUAUUCAUUGUGCCUUCAAAGCCUGUGUAAAUUCUGCUUCACUUCUUGGUCCAUAAACUUGACAUACAUUUUUCCAUUCUACCCAGAUAUGUUACCCUAGUAUUCCCAGGCAUAAGAAUAUUUCCAAGUUAUUCUUGGAAUUUUUUUCUUCCAACAAUGGUAAUUUUUCCCUUUUUAUUUGAAUUUUUGUUUUGCAUUUUGAAUGCCGCAAUGAUCAUCUUGGCCACCCAAACUUUGUUUAGUGGUUUUUUUUUUUAAUUUUUAUUUUUACUUUAUUUUACUUUACAAUACGAUUUUGUUUUUGCCAUACAUUGACAUGAAUCCACCACGGGUGUACAUGCGUUCCCAAACAUGAACCCUACUCCCACAUCCCUCCCCAUAACAUCUCUCAUCCCCGUGCACCAGCCCCAAGCAUCCUGUAUCUUGCAUCGGAUAUAGACUGGCGAUUCGUUUCUUACUGUUUAGUGUUUUUAAAAGAAAUAUAUAUUCCAGGAAAUUUUCAGUUGUUUAUAUCUCUCUCAGGCUUCCCUCAUAGCCCAGUGGGUAAAGAAACUGCCUGCAAUGCAGGUGAUGUCAGUUCGAUUCCUGGGUCGGGAAGAUCUACUGGAGAAGCAAUAGGCUACCUGCUCCAGCCUCUCUCACCAGAAAGCUUCCAUAAGCCUCUUAUCCUUCUCCAUCAGAGGGCAGACAGACUGAAAAUCACAAUCACAGAAAACUAACCAAUCUAAUCACAUGGACCACAGCAUUGUCUAACUCUUUGAAACUAUGAGCCAUGCCAUGUAGGGCUACCCAAGAUGGAUGGGUCAUGGUGGAGAGUUCUGAAAAAAUGUGAUCCACUGGAUAGGGAGUGGCAAACCACUUCAGUAUUCUUGGCUUGAGAAUCCCAUGAACGGAAAGGCAAAAAGAAGAGAAACUGAAAGAACUCCUCAGGUCGGUAGGUGCCCAGUAUGCUACUGGAGAUCAGCAGAGAAAGAACUCCAGAAAGAAUGAAGAGACGGACACAAAGCAAGAACAACACCCAGUUGUGGAUGUGACUGGUGAUGGAAGCAACGUCUGAUGCUGUAAAGAGCAAUAUUGCAUAGAAACCUGGAAUGUUAGGUUCAUGAAUCAAGGCAAAUUGGAAGUGAUCAAACAAGAGAUGGCGAAGCAAGAUCCAAUGCUGUAAAGAGCAAUAUUGCAUAGGAACCUGGAAUGUCAGGUCCAUGAAUCAAGGCAUAUUGGAAAUGGUCAAACAGGAGAUGGGAAGAGUGAACGUUGACAUUCUAGGAAUCAGCGAACUAAAAUGGACUGGAAUGGGUGAAUUUAACUCAGAUGACAAUUAUAUCUACUACUG